rnacentral:rRNA from 1 species
GGUUAAGCGACUAAGCGUACACGGUGGAUGCCCUGGCAGUCAGAGGCGAUGAAGGACGUGCUAAUCUGCGAUAAGCGUCGGUAAGGUGAUAUGAACCGUUAUAACCGGCGAUUUCCGAAUGGGGAAACCCAGUGUGAUUCGUCACACUAUCAUUAACUGAAUCCAUAGGUUAAUGAGGCGAACCGGGGGAACUGAAACAUCUAAGUACCCCGAGGAAAAGAAAUCAACCGAGAUUCCCCCAGUAGCGGCGAGCGAACGGGGAGCAGCCCAGAGCCUGAAUCAGUGUGUGUGUUAGUGGAAGCGUCUGGAAAGGCGCGCGAUACAGGGUGACAGCCCCGUACACAAAAAUGCACAUGCUGUGAGCUCGAUGAGUAGGGCGGGACACGUGGUAUCCUGUCUGAAUAUGGGGGGACCAUCCUCCAAGGCUAAAUACUCCUGACUGACCGAUAGUGAACCAGUACCGUGAGGGAAAGGCGAAAAGAACCCCGGCGAGGGGAGUGAAAAAGAACCUGAAACCGUGUACGUACAAGCAGUGGGAGCCUCUUUAUGGGGUGACUGCGUACCUUUUGUAUAAUGGGUCAGCGACUUAUAUUCUGUAGCAAGGUUAACCGAAUAGGGGAGCCGAAGGGAAACCGAGUCUUAACUGGGCGUUAAGUUGCAGGGUAUAGACCCGAAACCCGGUGAUCUAGCCAUGGGCAGGUUGAAGGUUGGGUAACACUAACUGGAGGACCGAACCGACUAAUGUUGAAAAAUUAGCGGAUGACUUGUGGCUGGGGGUGAAAGGCCAAUCAAACCGGGAGAUAGCUGGUUCUCCCCGAAAGCUAUUUAGGUAGCGCCUCGUGAAUUCAUCUCCGGGGGUAGAGCACUGUUUCGGCAAGGGGGUCAUCCCGACUUACCAACCCGAUGCAAACUGCGAAUACCGGAGAAUGUUAUCACGGGAGACACACGGCGGGUGCUAACGUCCGUCGUGAAGAGGGAAACAACCCAGACCGCCAGCUAAGGUCCCAAAGUCAUGGUUAAGUGGGAAACGAUGUGGGAAGGCCCAGACAGCCAGGAUGUUGGCUUAGAAGCAGCCAUCAUUUAAAGAAAGCGUAAUAGCUCACUGGUCGAGUCGGCCUGCGCGGAAGAUGUAACGGGGCUAAACCAUGCACCGAAGCUGCGGCAGCGACGCUUAUGCGUUGUUGGGUAGGGGAGCGUUCUGUAAGCCUGCGAAGGUGUGCUGUGAGGCAUGCUGGAGGUAUCAGAAGUGCGAAUGCUGACAUAAGUAACGAUAAAGCGGGUGAAAAGCCCGCUCGCCGGAAGACCAAGGGUUCCUGUCCAACGUUAAUCGGGGCAGGGUGAGUCGACCCCUAAGGCGAGGCCGAAAGGCGUAGUCGAUGGGAAACAGGUUAAUAUUCCUGUACUUGGUGUUACUGCGAAGGGGGGACGGAGAAGGCUAUGUUGGCCGGGCGACGGUUGUCCCGGUUUAAGCGUGUAGGCUGGUUUUCCAGGCAAAUCCGGAAAAUCAAGGCUGAGGCGUGAUGACGAGGCACUACGGUGCUGAAGCAACAAAUGCCCUGCUUCCAGGAAAAGCCUCUAAGCAUCAGGUAACAUCAAAUCGUACCCCAAACCGACACAGGUGGUCAGGUAGAGAAUACCAAGGCGCUUGAGAGAACUCGGGUGAAGGAACUAGGCAAAAUGGUGCCGUAACUUCGGGAGAAGGCACGCUGAUAUGUAGGUGAAGUCCCUUGCGGAUGGAGCUGAAAUCAGUCGAAGAUACCAGCUGGCUGCAACUGUUUAUUAAAAACACAGCACUGUGCAAACACGAAAGUGGACGUAUACGGUGUGACGCCUGCCCGGUGCCGGAAGGUUAAUUGAUGGGGUUAGCGGUAACGCGAAGCUCUUGAUCGAAGCCCCGGUAAACGGCGGCCGUAACUAUAACGGUCCUAAGGUAGCGAAAUUCCUUGUCGGGUAAGUUCCGACCUGCACGAAUGGCGUAAUGAUGGCCAGGCUGUCUCCACCCGAGACUCAGUGAAAUUGAACUCGCUGUGAAGAUGCAGUGUACCCGCGGCAAGACGGAAAGACCCCGUGAACCUUUACUAUAGCUUGACACUGAACAUUGAGCCUUGAUGUGUAGGAUAGGUGGGAGGCUUUGAAGUGUGGACGCCAGUCUGCAUGGAGCCGACCUUGAAAUACCACCCUUUAAUGUUUGAUGUUCUAACGUUGGCCCCUAAUCGGGGUUGCGGACAGUGUCUGGUGGGUAGUUUGACUGGGGCGGUCUCCUCCUAAAGAGUAACGGAGGAGCACGAAGGUUGGCUAAUCCUGGUCGGACAUCAGGAGGUUAGUGCAAUGGCAUAAGCCAGCUUGACUGCGAGCGUGACGGCGCGAGCAGGUGCGAAAGCAGGUCAUAGUGAUCCGGUGGUUCUGAAUGGAAGGGCCAUCGCUCAACGGAUAAAAGGUACUCCGGGGAUAACAGGCUGAUACCGCCCAAGAGUUCAUAUCGACGGCGGUGUUUGGCACCUCGAUGUCGGCUCAUCACAUCCUGGGGCUGAAGUAGGUCCCAAGGGUAUGGCUGUUCGCCAUUUAAAGUGGUACGCGAGCUGGGUUUAGAACGUCGUGAGACAGUUCGGUCCCUAUCUGCCGUGGGCGCUGGAGAACUGAGGGGGGCUGCUCCUAGUACGAGAGGACCGGAGUGGACGCAUCACUGGUGUUCGGGUUGUCAUGCCAAUGGCACUGCCCGGUAGCUAAAUGCGGAAGAGAUAAGUGCUGAAAGCAUCUAAGCACGAAACUUGCCCCGAGAUGAGUUCUCCCUGACUCCCUGAGAGUCCUGAAGGAACGUUGAAGACGACGACGUUGAUAGGCCGGGUGUGUAAGCGCAGCGAUGCGUUGAGCUAACCGGUACUAAUGAACCGUGAGGCUUAACCUU